UGGACCCACCUGACUCCAUUCCGAACUCAGAAGUGAAAC
rnacentral:rRNA from 1 species